rnacentral:lncRNA from 1 species
CAUUCAUGUACAAGUCCAUGCAUGUCAAUUAUUUGAUAAAUUGUCUUAGUAAAUGAAUUAUGGAUAUAUGUGUGGCCAUUGUGGUGCUUUAUAACUUGUACUUCACGAAUACUACAACUUAUUAUAUUAUGGAUUGUUGAUUUUGGUCAUGUAAUCAAGAAAGUAAUACUUUGUCAGUUUCUUUCCAUUGAGUCCUGGGGGUACUUACUCCUGA